GUCUACGGCCAUACCACCCUGAACAUGGCCGAUCUCAUCUGAUCUCGGAAGCUAAGCAGAGUCGGGCCUGGUUAGUACUUGGAUGGGAGAUAUUUAAUCCAUGUUGAGUGAAAU
rnacentral:rRNA from 1 species